CACCCUGGGCGCCGCCGCCGCCUUCUUCACUGGCCCGCCUCGCCGCCUCACAGCACCCACGAACCGCUGUGUCCUCCCCUCUCGCACUCUCGCUCCCAGGGCGGCGCCGCCACUCUCUCCGAGCCGCCGCCACCCCCUCCCCACCUCCCAACCUCAUCCCCCGUGUCUCCUCGAGUUCUCGAUGAAACUGACCUGCCUGGACACCGGAGUCGAUGGAGGCUACUACACGCCGGCGAGUCAUCUCCUGGAGGUGGAGGGGCUCCGUAUUCUCCUUGACUGCCCCAUCGACCUCUCCGCUCUCACGGCGUUCUCCGCGGUGCCCCUCGGCGCAUCGUCCUCCUCCGGUGAUGCGGAGGACCUAAUCCGCGGUGUGCCCUACUACCGGUCGCCUACCGCGGUUGCGGCCGCCAAAGCAGGCCACAUAGACGCCGUGCUUGUGUCAUCCGCUACGGGGCUGCUUGGCCUCCCGUUCCUCACGCGAUUCCCCGGAUUUGCGAACACCAAGGUCUAUGUGACAGAGGUAGCUGCUAGGAUGGGAAGUCUAAUGAUGAGAGAGUUGGUAGAGAUGCACCGUGAGUUUGUAAGGUGUUAUGGACCAGAUAGGGAUCAGUCACCAGUGUGGAUGGAAGGGGAGAAGCUCAAGAAACUCAUGUCAGUGUUGCAGAAGAUCACGACUGAAGACGAGGAAAAUAAUAAUUUAGCUGCUUUGGUGUCACUUUACAGGUCCACUAAAGAGUUUAUAUUAGAAGAUAGUGCUUAAUUUCACCUAGCUUAUAUUGGCUAUUGGUCCAGAACGUUGAACUUACAUUCUUACUAGAGACAAACUUAAAAACUUUUAUGAAUAUUUAAUACACAAAAAAAAUGUACUUGAAUAAUUGAAUUUUGUCAAGAUUUGACUUUCAAAUGCUAAUAAGAAUCUGAUAAGAUAAUUACUGUUUACACCCUAGUUAGUUUCAGUAUCAGUCCAGUGCGUUAUAUCAAUGAUGGUUUUAUUACUUGAGCAAAGAAAGAUUCAGAUACUGCCACAUGUCUGCGGCCUAUCAUCUUAUUGUGUUACUUGUGUAACUGGUUAAGAGUUAUUUGCUUCCUGCAAACAAAUUUCUGCACUUGGGACAUAUGGUGGUCAUUAAAUUUUAUGACUGGAAGAUUUGUAAGCAGUUCAUGGAAGUGAGUUACCAUUUUUUUUCUCAACUAAUGGGAUUUAUAUCUAUCUGGUGCAGUCUGGAUAAUAUAGAAGAAUGCAUGCAAAAAACCCAGUAUGUAAAAUAUGGAGAGGAGGUUUGCUUCAAUGGCAUGUUGAUGCUGAAAGCCUCUAGUUCUGGUCUCGAACUUGGCAAUUGUGUUUGGACAAUAAAAGGUCCAAGAGCAAGUAUGACCUACUUGCCGAGCUCCAUAUUUGUGUCAGCUCAUGCAUUAGACUUUGAUUAUAGCUCUCUGAAGGGAAAUGAUGUGAUAUUGUUUUCGGAUUUUUCUUCCUUAAAUGGCAUGUAUGAUGAUAACAAGAAGAUGGGUGAGCAUAUAGUGGAUGAAACUGACAUUCUCCUUGCUAGUAAUUCAGUGUUCAGGGAUGAUGGCAUGGAUGAAGAUGAAACCAUCAAAUUCCUGUGCAGCAAUGAUGAUAUUGCAGAGGAGAUAGAGAGAAUCAGCUUCAUAUGCUCAUGCAUCAUUGAUGCAAUAAAUUCUGGUGGUUCUGUAUUAAUACCAAUAGGACGAAUUGGUAUUAUUCUUUUGCUUUUGGAACAUAUGUCAGAAACACUACAUUCUUCCAACAUGAAGGAUAUGCCAUUUGGAUUUGCUUAUGUGGAUGUGUCAAGUUGAGAGUGCCUGAUUUACUGCUAACUACGUGUAAGAUGGUUAGCUUCUAGGAGGGUUUAAAUAUGCAUGUGAUACGAAGUGUCCUAUACCUGUAGUAACAAGUUAUUUUUCAUAUCGGUAGUUCUAUGCCCCUUCUUUUAAUUCUACUAUGAAAUUUGAAGUUUAUGCCACAUCGCUAUUCACAUCUGUUUUUGGAUGACAAUUUUUUUCAGAGUCAGGUUCCCAUAUUUAUGAUUUCUGAGACAGCAGAAGAAAUAAUUACUUUUACCAAUGCCUUGCCUGAAUGGCUAUGCAAGUCACGCCAAGAGAAGCUUUUCUCUUGUGAGCCGUUAUUCGGCCAUGUAGAGCUUUUGAAGGAAGGCAAACUAUCACUGUUCUCUCAUUUAUACUCAAAGGGCCUGCUCUUGGAAGGAACCUUGCAUUGUAUUUUGUCCACAUUGGAGUCUUAGGCAUGGCCCAGCUGUCCAUUUGCUUCAUCGAUGGCGUGCAGACAAACGAUGUCUUCUUGUUUUGGAGCAAGGAGUUGAUGCUGAGUUGACUCUAAAACCUUUCAUGCCUCUGGCGAUCCAGGUCCUUGGGUGUUCUUUCCUUUCUGGAAUAAAGGUGGGGAAAAUUGAUCCAUUACUGGGAUUGCUGAAACCAAAGCUCAUACUGUUUCCUGAAGGUCAGAAGUCGUUGUGUCCAGCCACAGAUAAGCAACCAUGGUCAUUCCUGUAUUACUCAAAGGGGAAAACAAUCGAGGUCCCAAAUAUGCGGGAAGAAUUCGAGGUGCGCAUGACAACUGAGGUUGCCUUUGGGUUGCAACCUAGGCAGCUGGACAAGACCACAGCUGUUGCGAGGUUGAAAGCAAAGCUCCUUCUAAGCAAUGGACAAUAUGUGCUAGCUGCUGCAAAGAGUGAAUUAGAUCGAUCAGAGCGGCACUUGCUACACUGGGGAACUGUGGACGCGAGCUGUAUACCGUCAGCCUUGCAGGAAAAGGGAAUUGUAUGCUCGUUUUCUGCAGACGCUGAUUACUCUGCACCUUCAGAUCGUGAACGUGUAAUUUCGAUCACUAGUCCAGGAGAAGCCCUGGUGAAGGUGACAUCUGAAAGGACUACUAUUUACUGUGAUGAUGAAGAAACAGCAGAGCGUGUUUAUGAUGCUCUUCGUAGUAUUUGUAAUGGGAUAUGAUGUAUAUAUACGAUUUCACUCAAGAAAAUGACGUGCCUUCGUUUUUGCUGUCGAAGGUUUGAAACCA